GCCAACAAAAAGCAGCUCUCUGCCAGAAUCAUAAUGAAAAUCACAGAAACAAGAAAUGUGGAGGCCUAUUGUCAACAAGUCAUAUGAUCAUACUUCCUGCCACCACAGGAUUUUUACCUACUGCGCCCAAACAAGAGUUUUGUGCCAAGUAACUUUUAGGAAGCCUGAGCUCAGGAAUUCCUGCUUGUCUAUGACAGCGUAAAGAUAACAUUCCCAGAUCUCUUUGGAAAAUGAUACUUAAAUGCUUAGCAUUGCUGGAUUUUUCCAUUCUACAGCAGCUAUAUACCAGAAAGAUGCACGAUUGUGGAGGUGAAGAACAAGAAAGGAAAAAAGAACAGAUGAUUUCUUGUUGUCUACAUGUAAAUUCGUGUUUCAAAUAGUAAUAUAAAAUAGUUUUUUUUUUUUUUUUAACAUAUUGCUAAUUCACUAUGGUUUGGCUAUAAACAGCAAACAAUGGCAAUGUUUAUACUAAUAAGGAACAUUUAGUAACAACUGUAAGAACAACUGUAAGCACACACAUACAGUAUAUUUUGCCCCCAAAUCUUAAGAUUUAAAGCCCUCCUCUGCUUGUUGAGAGGGCAAGCGAAUAAACAAAUUCCUAACCAAAAUUGCUUCUCUAUU
rnacentral:lncRNA from 1 species